rnacentral:lncRNA from 1 species
AUUUCCCAACUAAACUUUAAGAAGCCAAAGUUGUAGUCGUCCGGACCAGGGCUUUUCGACCCCUCACAUGCCCAUAUAGCGUCCUUGAUUUCCUCCUUAGAAAACCUUCUCGUAAGCAUGACAUUAUCUUCCUCUGAUAUGUUAUUGAACCGAAUAUCAUCCAAUUUCACUUGAAUGUUUUCCCCCUCCCUGAAUCUCAUAUCGAAA